UUAUGGGUGAUUUGCAAAAACAAGAGAUUAUUUAAAAUAUUACUAUUAAUUUUGUACAAUUGUAUCAAUACAUCAUAAGAAAUUCGCUAUAAAUACUAUAUAUGGUAGAAAAUGUCUGAUAUAAUACAUAAAUAUAAUUUCCAUAUACAAACUUAGGAAGAGUUUUUUGGGUUAACAGCCGAAAUGUGAGGUUACGGCUGUCAAGAAAGACUUCGUAAAUGUAAACAAAAGUUGCAAAGCCAGAAUUUGCCCAAUCUCAAAGCCUUUUUAAUUCCUAUAAAGUUGAAAUGUUGCUUUCUCUGCAGCUUUUUCUGCUUAAGUAUACUGUUUUUAACAUAAUACCACCAUAAUUCGGUCUUAAAUUUGUAUGAAAUAUAGUUUUUCAGUGAUAUUCACCAAGCAAAGUUUACAAACUUUUGUGAACCAUUCUAUUUUGUAUAAUAAAAAUGGUAAUGUGCUUUGCCCCGGAUUGUACACAAUAUUGUGAAAGAGGGAUAUGUAGAUUCUUUGUUGUUCCCAAGAUCUGGUUGAAAAGAAGACAUUGAUUUCAUUACUAAGGCACCCAGGAGAAGGGCAUGGCCCUAACCCUCAAAUAUGAGUAUUAUAGAAAAUUAACAGUUACCCAGGCAACCAUCCAAUGAGAAUCAUAGGAAAAUUAACAGUUCCACAGACAAUCAUCCAGUGACCACAUUGUCUCUUUUUGGACAUACCAUCUGACGCUUUCUGAAGAAAAUCUUGGGGUGUAAAUAACCCAGGACAGCACCGGAAGAAGCCGUCAGACCACAGGCUAAAUUCCUUAUUAAAAUCUGUAGCUUGCCUAUAAACAGAGACAGACUAUUUUUAUAUAAAAUAACUUCAUUAGUUCUAAAAUGUAGAUCUUGAAUUGUGACCAUAAUAAAAUGAGAAAAUAAAGUGUUUAUACUGAA